UUGACCUCGGAUCAGGUAGGGAUACCCGCUGAACUUAAGCAUAUCAAUAAGGAAGAGGAAGAG
rnacentral:rRNA from 1 species